rnacentral:rRNA from 1 species
GCGGCAGUGGGGAAUAUUGCCCAAUGGGUGAAAGCCUGAUGCAGCGACGCCGCGUGAGGGAUGACGGCCUUCGGGUUGUAAACCUCUUUCAUCAGGGAAGAAGCGAAAGUGACGGUACCUGCAGAAGAAGCGCCGGCUAACUACGUGCCAGCAGCCGCGGUAAUACGUAGGGCGCGAGCGUUGUCCGGAAUUAUUGGGCGUAAAGAGCUCGUAGGCGGCUUGUCGCGUCGGUUGUGAAAGCCCGGGGCUUAACCCCGGGUCUGCAGUCGAUACGGGCAGGCUAGAGUUCGGUAGGGGAGAUCGGAAUUCCUGGUGUAGCGGUGAAAUGCGCAGAUAUCAGGAGGAACACCGGUGGCGAAGGCGGAUCUCUGGGCCGAUACUGACGCUGAGGAGCGAAAGCGUGGGGAGCGAACAGGAUUAGAUACCCUGGUAGUCCACGCCGUAAACGGUGGGCACUAGGUGUGGGCGACAUUCCACGUCGUCCGUGCGGCAGCUAACGCAUUAAGUGCCCCGCCUGGGGAGUACGGCCGCAAGGCUAAAACUCAAAGGAAUUGACGGGGGGCCCGCACAAGCGGCGGAUCAUGUGGCUUAAUUCGACGCACCGCGAAAAACCUUACCAAGGCUUGACAUACACCGG